rnacentral:rRNA from 1 species
GACGGAGGAUGCAAGCGUUAUCCGGAAUGAUUGGGCGUAAAGCGUCCGCAGGUGGCAGUUCAAGUCUGCUGUCAAAGACCGGGGCUUAACCCUGGAAAGGCAGUGGAAACUGAGAAGCUAGAGUGUGGCAGGGGCAGAGGGAAUUCCCGGUGUAGCGGUGAAAUGCGUAGAGAUCGGGAAGAACACCGGUGGCGAAAGCGCUCUGCUGGGCCACAACUGACACUCAGGGACGAAAGCUAGGGGAGCGAAAGGG